rnacentral:rRNA from 1 species
UGCGCAGGCUGUGGGGUAAGUCGGAUGUGAAAUUUAGGGGCUCAACCCCUAACCUGCAUUCGAUACUGCUCCGCUAGAGGACUGUAGAGGAGAUUGGAAUUCACGGUGUAGCAGUGAAAUGCGUAGAUAUCGUGAGGAAGACCAGUGGCGAAGGCGAAUCUCUGGGCAGUUCCUGACGCUCAUGCACGAAGGCCAGGGGAGCAAACG